GACGAACGCUGGCGGCGUGCUUAACACAUGCAAGUCGAACGGAAGGGCCCUGCUUUUGUGGGGUGCUCGAGUGGCGAACGGGUGAGUAACACGUGAGUAACCUGCCCUUGACUUUGGGAUAACUUCAGGAAACUGGGGCUAAUACCGGAUAGGAGCUCCUGCUGCAUGGUGGGGGUUGGAAAGUUUCGGCGGUUGGGGAUGGACUCGCGGCUUAUCAGCUUGUUGGUGGGGUAGCGGCUUACCAAGGCUUUGACGGGUAGCCGGCCUGAGAGGGUGACCGGCCACAUUGGGACUGAGAUACGGCCCAGACUCCUACGGGGGGCAGCAGUGGGGAAUAUUGCACAAUGGGCGGAAGCCUGAUGCAGCAACGCCGCGUGCGGGAUGACGGCCUUCGGGUUGUAAACCGCUUUCGCCUGUGACGAAGCGUGAGUGACGGUAAUGGGUAAAGAAGCACCGGCUAACUACGUG
rnacentral:rRNA from 1 species